rnacentral:rRNA from 1 species
AUGCUACUCGUGCGUCCCACGUCCGCGGCCGCGCACGCGCCGCUGGCCGGCCGGUGUAUAUAUAGAGCGCGCGCUCACCUCCCCAGCAGCACCAACCGAGACAUCCAUCCGGCCAACAGCAGAAUUCCUCUGCAAGGACGACUUCGAAAUCCGAACUCAUCAUCCGUCAUGGCUUUGGAUGGCAGGGCCUUGCCGCAGCCGGCGCCCGCGUGCGUUCCCGCCGUCCAGGCGGUGAGGCCGUGGGCGGGGGACAGCGGUGCUAAUUCGUCUACGGAGGGAAGGGAAAGGGGCAUGCUGCAGGGGAGCGCCGUGGAGGUGGAUGUGCCGCUGCUGCGGGACGACGAGGGGAGGAUGAAGCGGGAGCUGGUCGCCUGGGCCAAGGCCGUGGCGUCCAUGGCCAUCAGGGAGUCGAUGCGGUGCUAA